UACGAGGGGGGCAAGCGUUGUUCGGAAUUAUUGGGCGUAAAGCGUGCGUAGGCGGUUUGUCACGUCUGCUGUGAAAUCCCGAGGCUCAACCUCGGGCCUGCAGUGGGUACGGGCAGACUGGAGUGCGGUAGGGGAGAAUGGAAUUCCUGGUGUAGCGGUGGAAUGCGCAGAUAUCAGGAGGAACACCGAUGGCGAAGGCAGUUCUCUGGGCCGUAACUGACGCUGAGGAGCGAAAGCGUGGGGAGCGAACAGG
rnacentral:rRNA from 1 species